rnacentral:rRNA from 1 species
GUACACUCCUGCGGGAGGCAGCAGUGGGGAAUUUUGGACAAUGGGCGAAAGCCUGAUCCAGCAAUGCCGCGUGUGUGAAGAAGGCCUUCGGGUUGUAAAGCACUUUUGUCCGGAAAGAAAUCCUUGGCUCUAAUACAGUCGGGGGAUGACGGUACCGGAAGAAUAAGCACCGGCUAACUACGUGCCAGCAGCCGCGGUAAUACGUAGGGUGCGAGCGUUAAUCGGAAUUACUGGGCGUAAAGCGUGCGCAGGCGGUUUGCUAAGACCGAUGUGAAAUCCCCGGGCUCAACCUGGGAACUGCAUUGGUGACUGGCAGGCUAGAGUAUGGCAGAGGGGGGUAGAAUUCCACGUGUAGCAGUGAAAUGCGUAGAGAUGUGGAGGAAUACCGAUGGCGAAGGCAGCCCCCUGGGCCAAUACUGACGCUCAUGCACGAAAGCGUGGGGAGCAAACAGGAUUAGAAACCCCUGUAGUCCCAUGA